AGUGGCGAACGGGUGAGUAACACGUGGGCAACCUGCCCAAAAGAGGGGGAGUAACACUUGGAAACAGGUGCUAAUACCGCAUAACCAUAGUUACCGCAUGGUAACUAUGUAAAAGGUGGCUAUGCUACCGCUUUUGGAUGGGCCCGCGGCGCAUUAGCUAGUUGGUGGGGUAAAGGCUUACCAAGGCAAUGAUGCGUAGCCGAACUGAGAGGUUGAUCGGCCACAUUGGGACUGAGACACGGCCCAAACUCCUACGGGAGGCAGCAG
rnacentral:rRNA from 1 species